rnacentral:rRNA from 1 species
CCUACGGGAGGCAGCAGUGAGGAAUAUUGGUCAAUGGGCGAGAGCCUGAAGCAGCCAAGUAGCGUGAAGGAUGACUGCCCUACGGGUUGUAAACUUCUUUUAUAAAGGAAUAAAGUGAGGCACGUGUGCCUUUUUGUAUGUACUUUAUGAGUAAGGAUCGCCUAACUCCGUGCCAGCAGCCGCGGUAAUACGGAGGAUCCGAGCGUUAGCCGGAUUUAUUGGGUGUAAAGGGAGCGUAGAUGGGUUGUUAAGUCAGGUGUGAAAGCUCGCGGCUCAACCGGAAAAUUGCAAUUGAUACUGGCAGUCUUGAGUACAGUUGAGGUAGGCGGAAUUCGUGGUGUAGCGGUGAAAUGCUUAGAUAUCACGAAGAACUCCGAUUGCGAAGGCAGCUUACUAAACUGCAACUGACACUGAGGCGCGAAAGUGUGGGUAUCAAACAGGAUUAGAUACCCGAGUAGUC